rnacentral:rRNA from 1 species
UACAGAGGUCUCAAGCGUUGUUCGGAUUCAUUGGGCGUAAAGGGUGCGUAGGCGGCCCGGUAAGUCCGCUGUGAAAGUCAAAGGCUCAACCUUUGAAUGUCAGCGGAUACUGCCGGGCUAGAGUCCGGAAGAGGCGAGUGGAACUCCUGGUGUAGCGGUGGAAUGCGCAGAUAUCAGGAAGAACACCAACGGCGAAGGCAGCUCGCUGGGACGGAACUGACGCUGAGGCGCGAAAGCGUGGGGAGCGAACAGG